rnacentral:misc_RNA from 1 species
AAAUUUUUGUAAAGUUCCGAUUAAUUAAGAACCCUUAAAAAUACCUUCUACAAUAACAAACCAUCUGGAACUGAAACAAAUAGGACUUUUCAGUUUUCACCUUCUCUUUUCGCAUUUCGUUGGAUCAGGCACCAAGGAUUUAACAUGUACAUGGGAAUGCAGGUGAGCACUAAACCCUUUUACCAUUCAUCUUUAUCUACCGAAUAAUGCAAUGAAGGCCCACCAUGUUAUACUUGUAACCUUCUCUAAAACGUUCAUUAUGUUUAAUAAUUAUCUUCAAGUACGCCAUGUGAUUGGAAAAAUUUUAAAAAUACAAUAGAUGUAUGUGUGCUGCAAUACCAAGUGUUGACCAGUAAGAUGAAGGUCAUGUGACACACAUAUGACUCAACCGGAUAAAGAUUAACAACCGACCCAUUUCUUUUUUCAGACAUCUAUAAUAUAAAGUAAUGAUAAAAAUUUGAUGUGAAUAUCGACAAACCAAGCGUUGAAGUUAUUUACGUCAGCCUCUGUCGUCUUGUGCCACAAAUUUUAUACCAACGAAGGUGGCAUCUUUGUGUAGGACAACCUAACAUGACAUCUCAAAUAAUGUUAUUUUCAAUCCAACUCCAACCAAGAAAGGUGGCGCUCUACCGUAGGUGUAGACUCAUCCAAAAAAAAAUUUAUCAUCAAGGACAUAUGGAAUUUUUGCGUAUUUUUCAACUUAAUAAUGUAAAUAAAUACUAUUUCAAUAAACUAUAUGGACGGUACACAACCAGUGACCCCAAGUACAAUAUGUACAAUUUUUAUUAUAUUCAACUAUCAACAGCCCUUCAACUACAACAAAGGAGUCAACUCUUCCCUUGGUAUAUAUUUGAGUCUUACAAGUUUUUAAGUCGGUGUCAAGCAACACCCACUCCCAUCUGGUGUUGUAUAAUUCCAAUGCAUACUUUACAAGUAAAGACCUAGCGACGUUUCAAAUCGAAAUAUAACUUUUAUAUAUUUUUUUUAGAAAAAAAUAGCAGUAGUUAAGACUCCUUAAUCAAAAGAAAGAAUCAGCAGUAAAAUAUUUAUAGGAAAUCAAAUGCCUUAGAUCAAUGAAAUGUGAUUUUUUUUCCCCACUGGAUUCCCAUGAGUUCAAACUUAAAACUUGAUAUUUCUAGACACUCCUAAUAUUUAGAGGACAGAACUCUUUUUUUUUUAUUUAAUUAACUUUUAACGACAGAUAAACAGAUGUUAAUUUUGUCUUACCAAAGAUGAAACAUAACUUGACUCUAAGCUAAAAGAAAAUAUGGUGGCAUAGGCCAGCCAGCCUCCUUUGUGGAAAUUUUUUUAAAUAAUAAUAAUAACAAAGAAGGAAGCAAAAUUACCAAAAAAGAAACAAUAUCUCCUAAAAAGAAUAGAAAAUGAAUGCAUUCCUAUAUUAGGCAUAUGAUCUACCUUCUGAAUUUGCACCCGACAAAUAUCAGAAAAAGAAUUCAAACUGUUUUACCAAGGAAAACUUUUCAAGGUCAUCUUUUAAACACAAAAGUCCAAGCCAUUGUCUAGUUUACCAGUGGUAUACUAUUAGCCUAUUAUAACCCACAAGUGGAACCAUAUUCCAUAAUUAAUCAAGGUUUCUGAUAAGCAAGAACAUUUUGGGCAAAAUAAAAUCCACACCGUCUCUGGGCCCUUAAAUAUUUAAUGUGAAAUUUUGAACCAACUCUGGUUUUUCCUUUUUUUAUCCUUAUCCGUUUAUAGCAUAAUCAUAUAUAACUUGCUUACAUUUCAAUCUCGCUAUCAUCAAGAAGCAAUGCUGCCAACAACCACUCACCUAAAGGUCAAAAUCAAACCCCAGAAAACAAUUUUUGAAAAUAAUAACAAUGAUAAAAAAUUCUAAUUAUCUAUCAAGAAAGGAAAAUCAUAAUCAAAAGAAGUUAAAUUACGAAAGUACCCCUCGGUGGAGAAUUGUCCCAUACGGAAAAUUUUCAGCGUGUUCUUAACUCCUUAUCCUUACGCUGCUAAGCACCACCCAGUACGGCAAAAAUAUCCCUUUGUACGAAAAUACUUUCAAAGCAAACGAUGUUUACAAUGUCGCAUUUUUUUAAAUAAUAGUUUGAUAAAAAAUUAAAAUCCAAGUUUAGAAUCAAUCAAAGACUGAUUAAAAAAAUGCAUAAUUUCCUAUACCGCUCGUUAUAAUCAGUUAAUCACCAACAAAAUUAAGAAAAUCCACAAAAAAUUCUUUCCACAUACAAGAAAAUCUUUUAUCAUGCUCAAUUUUAAAAAAUAAUUAUAGAAAUUAUAGUACUUUUUUUUUUCAAUUACCAAGGAAAAAGCCUA